rnacentral:rRNA from 1 species
ACUGAUAUGAAGAGCUUGCUCGGAUUUGAAGAUGAACAUUGCAAAGAGUGGCGAACGGGUGAGUAACACGUGGGAAACCUACCUCUUAGCGGGGGAUAACACUUGGAAACAAGUGCUAAUACCGCAUAAUACUGAUAACCGCAUGGUUAUCAGUUGAAAGAUGGUUCUGCUAUCACUAAGAGAUGGUCCCGCGGUGUAUUAGCUAGUUGGUAAGGUAAUGGCUUACCAAGGCAAUGAUACAUAGCCGAGUUGAGAGACUGAUCGGCCACAAUGGGACUGAGACACGGCCCAUACUCCUACGGGAGGCAGCAGUAGGGAAUCUUCCACAAUGGACGAAAGUCUGAUGGAGCAACGCCGCGUGUGUGAUGAAGGGUUUCGGCUCGUAAAACACUGUUGUAAGAGAAGAAUGACAUUGAGAGUAACUGUUCAGUGUGUGACGGUAUCUUACCAGAAAGGAACGGCUAAAUACGUGCCAGCAGCCGCGGUAAUACGUAUGUUCCAAGCGUUAUCCGGAUUUAUUGGGCGUAAAGCGAGCGCAGACGGUUGUUUAAGUCUGAAGUGAAAGCCCACAGCUUAACUGUGGAAGUGCUUUGGAAACUGGAUAACUUGAGUGCAGUAGAGGAGAGUGGAACUCCAUGUGUAGC